UUGGGUUGGGCUUUCAAGUAUGAGUAAGACUUUAACAGAAAUAAAAGGGAAGGGACGAUGUUCCAGGCCUAUAAAACGAUGUGCUCUGUGGUCCCGAGGCAUGAGAAGGCGGGGGCCAUUCUGAGAGAGGCCCACAAGAUUGGAACGAGAGGACACCAUGAGGAGACUAGACGAGGGUCUGGCAGUUUCUGCUCUAGCCAGGUGUUCUCAAUGCCCGUCACCUCCAACCAGCCUUUCCCGGGGUUUCCAAAGGAAGCAGCUCUGCAGAGACUUCGGCAACUCCCAGUGUCUCCCCCGUCACUGGCACCCUCAGCUCUGUCAUGGUGAGCCCACGGCGUUUAUCUGAUCAUCCGGCCAAGGACCUCCUUCGGGCUCAGGACGUCCUGGUCCCCGAACCUGUGAUGAGCUCCGGUUUCCCUUUGCCCUCCCCUGCCUUGGAUGGAGCUUCGCCUCCUGGUUGUUUCCUGCGGCCUUUACCUCCCGUGUUUGCUGGGACUGUGAUCUCCCGACCCAGGGCCCGUUCAGAUUUCUGCCUUUUCACAACUGUAUUCUUGCCUCUGGUCCCAGGAUUUCCAACGACCUGUUGCUGCCUACUCCCAGGAGUGGCAUGUAGGACAAGAAUGCAUUACCCUGUGUCUCUGCUUUGAAACAUUUUCUCAGUCAACCACCUUCUACUGGUUAUUUUUCUCAUUAUAGAGAGGGAGGGAGGAAGGACAAAGAAUCUAUUUCACUUGCUUAAACUCAUUGUACGGUUGGUUAACUCUACAUAGAAUGUGAAAAACAAAAGAUUAAUUAUACCCUUUAGUAGCAUCA